GCCGGGGUGCCCGAGCGGACCAAGGGGCCGGACAGGCCAUCCGGUGCCCCUUCGGGGGCGCGCGGGUUCGAAUCCCGCCCCCGGCGCCA
rnacentral:tRNA from 1 species